rnacentral:rRNA from 1 species
CCUACGGGGGGCAGCAGUGAGGAAUAUUGGUCAAUGGGCGCGAGCCUGAACCAGCCAAGUAGCGUGAAGGAUGACUGCCCUACGGGUUGUAAACUUCUUUUGUCGGGGAGCAAAGCGAGUCACGUGUGACUCAUUGAGAGUACCCGAAGAAAAAGCAUCGGCUAACUCCGUGCCAGCAGCCGCGGUAAUACGGAGGAUGCGAGCGUUAUCCGGAUUUAUUGGGUUUAAAGGGUGCGCAGGCGGAGGUGCAAGUCAGCGGUCAAAUUGCGGGGCUCAACCCCGUACUGCCGUUGAAACUGCAUCCC